CUACGGAAGGCAGCAGUGGGGAAUUUUGCGCAAUGGGCGAAAGCCUGACGCAGCAACGCCGCGUGAGCGAAGAAGGCCUUCGGGUUGUAAAGCUCUGUCAGGGGGAAAGAAGGCACCUGGGUUAAUAGCCCAAGGGCUGACGGUACCCCCAAAGGAAGCCACGGCUAACUACGUGCCAGCAGCCGCGGUAAUACGUAGGUGGCGAGCGUUGUCCGGAAUCAUUGGGCGUAAAGAGCGCGUAGGUGGCUUGUCAGGUCUGAUGUGAAAUCCUGGGGCUCAACUCCAGAACUGCAUCGGAAACCGGCUUGCUAGAGUCUGGGAGAGGAGAGUGGAAUUCCUGGUGUAGCGGUGAAAUGCGUAGAUAUCAGGAGGAACACCGGUAGCGAAGGCGGCUCUCUGGAACAGUACUGACGCUGAGGCGCGAAAGCUAGGGGAGCGAACAGGAUUAGAUACCCCGGUAGA
rnacentral:rRNA from 1 species